UUUUUUUUACUGCAGUAAAAACGACGAAGACAUGAGGAGAUUUGGUUUUCACCUUGUCCCAUUCCAAAACCUGUUAUUUCUUGAGCCAACUAAAUUAGAGGCAGGAACAAUGAUCUUGUAUUGCUGUUAAUUUCUGAUCAGUCAAUUGGACUUGAUUUUGGUGUGUUGUUGUAUUACUGCAGGACUACUUUGAUGCUUUUGAAGUGUGUUACGGUAGCAGGUUGUAAGCAUGGUUGUUUGUUGGCUGAUGAUUGUAAGUUUUCAACUGUAUGAACCAUACUAGAUUGUUGUGGAUUGUUGAAUAGGGUGUUGGUUUUGACAUGGUUUUGGCAUUGCUUGACACAUUGCAGGUUAGGCUUAUGAGUUGAUGUUGUGAAUGGUAAAUUCAUCUAACACGGCUAGAAGAGGAACACCAUCACAUAUGAAUGACAUAUCAUGAGUCUUCCCAUGCACGUGUUUUAGCAACCAAUGUCUCAACCAAAGCAGGAAUUUUAUUUACCAAUAUCCGAGCUUUCUCUGCUCGUUUGAGGUUUAAGUGUGCACCUCUGCUCGCAUUAUACCUGUUCUCGUCCCGAUUAUAGUCCUCAAGCCAGCUCUCUUCUUCACAUGCUGACAUCCAUUUCUCAACCUUGUCCAAUAUAUCUUUUUGGCUUAAAGCUUCUUCUU
rnacentral:lncRNA from 1 species